GAUGAACGCUGGCGGCGUGCCUAAUACAUGCAAGUCGAGCGAACAGACGAGGAGCUUGCUCCUCUGACGUUAGCGGCGGACGGGUGAGUAACACGUGGAUAACCUACCUAUAAGACUGGGAUAACUUCGGGAAACCGGAGCUAAUACCGGAUAAUAUAUUGAACCGCAUGGUUCAAUAGUGAAAGACGGUUUUGCUGUCACUUAUAGAUGGAUCCGCGCCGCAUUAGCUAGUUGGUAAGGUAACGGCUUACCAAGGCUACGAUGCGUAGCCGACCUGAGAGGGUCGUCGCCUAGCCUGGAUCUGAGGCUCGGCCCCGACUCCGGCGGUGGGCCGCGGCCCGGACUCUUCCGCGAUGGAGCAGUGGGUGAUGUUGCAACGUGGGGUAAGGGCUGAAGGUCUUCUGCCGCGUGAGCGCUGUAAUUAGUGGAGUUGUAAUGUGCUAGUAACUGUGCUCGUCAUGACGGUACCUAGUCAGUAAGCUCCGGCUAACUCCGUG
rnacentral:rRNA from 1 species